rnacentral:rRNA from 1 species
UACGUAGGGGGCAAGCGUUGUCCGGAUUUAUUGGGCGUAAAGGGCGCGUAGGCGGCCUGUUAAGUCGAACGUGAAAUCCCCGGGCUCAACCCGGGAACUGCGUCCGAUACUGGCAGGCUUGAAUCCGGGAGAGGGAUGCGGAAUUCCAGGUGUAGCGGUGAAAUGCGUAGAUAUCGGGAGGAACACCUGUGGCGAAGGCGGCCCCCUGGUUGGAUACUGACGCUGAGACGCGAAAGCGUGGGGAGCAAACAGG